rnacentral:misc_RNA from 1 species
GAUGAAGAACGUAGCGAAAUGCGAUAAGUAAUGUGAAUUGCAGAAUUCAGUGAAUCAUCGAAUCUUUGAACGCACCUUGCACCCUUUGGCAUUCCGAAGGGUAUGCUCGUUUGAGUGUCAUUGUACUCUCACACUCUCCGAUCCUAUGGAUUCGGGGAGCGGUGGACUUGGGUGUUGCUGCCUUUCCCUGUGGCUCACCUCAAAUGCGUCAGUGCACCUCUUGGUUGGACAUAGUACGGCGUGAUAAGUGUCUUCGCCGGCACCUCGCAAGAGGGUGGCCGAUCGGGAGCUCUGCGCUUUCAAACCGUCUUCGGACAAUUUCUGACAUCUUGACCUCAAAUCGAGUAGGACUACCCGCUGAACUUAAGCAUAUCAAUAAGCGGGA